rfam:Porcine hemagglutinating encephalomyelitis virus strain VW572, complete genome.
CUAUACUGAAGAUACCUCAGAAAUAUAAGAGAAUGAACCUUAUGUCGGCACCUGGUGGUAACCCCUCUCAGGAAAGUCGGGAUAAGGCACUCUCUAUCAGAAUGGAUGUCUUGCUGCUAUAAUAGAUAGAGAAGGUUAUAGUAGACUAUAGAUUAAUUAGUUGAAAGUUUUGUGUGGUAAUGUAUAGUGUUGGAGAAUGUUAAAGACUUGCAGAAGUAAUUGCUGACAAGUGCCUCAGGGAAGAGCCAGCAUGUUAAGUUACCACCCAGUAAUUAGUAAAUGAAUGAAGUUAAUCAUGGCCAAUUGGAAGAAUCAC